UCCUACGGGGCGCAGCAGUGGGGAAUAUUGCACAAUGGGGGAAACCCUGAUGCAGCGACGCCGCGUGAAGGACGAAGUAUUUCGGUACGUAAACUUCUAUCAGCAGGGAAGAAAAUGACGGUACCUGACCAAGAAGCCCCGGCUAAAUACGUGCCAGCAGCCGCGGUAAUACGUAGGGGGCAAGCGUUAUCCGGAUUUACUGGGUGUAAAGGGAGCGUAGACGGCCAGGCAAGUCUGAUGUGAAAACCCGGGGCUCAACCCCGGGACUGCAUUGGAAACUGCGCGGCUGGAGUGCCGGAGGGGCG
rnacentral:rRNA from 1 species